ACAUAUUGGAACGGAGAACCAAAUUCUCGCGAGAGACCAGAAGAGUCCAGGACGGGUUUGCUGCAAUGACACCCCACAGAUGUGAAUCAGGACAAUAUUCAAGAGUUUAUCGUAAAUUGAGAAUGGUGAUGAUAAAUUGAUAAUUUAUAGUAACUCAAUUAUGCUAAUCAUAAAGAUCGAUGUGGAUUUCAAGGGCAGCCGAAACAAGAAAGCUGUAAAAAGGAAAUUAGAAAAUUAAGUGACACAUAAGCUACAUUGUAUUUCUAUGAGCCACCCAUAGUUUAACUUUUUAUGAAAAAUUGAGAUCUAUACAUAAGUCCCUUGUUUUUAAAAAAAUAUUUUUUAUCAUGAUCUCGGUUUGAGAGCGAGACAGACAGAGCGGGAGAGAGAGAGACAUGUCGAGAGAGAGAAACAGGGCAGGAGAGAGAGAAAGAGGGCGAGAGAAAGAGACAGGGAAUGAGAGCGAGAGACAAGGCAGGAGAGUUGGUCAGGAGAGAGAGCAACAGGGCAGGAGAGAGAGACCGACAGAGAGGGGGAGAGGGAGAGCACAAUAAAUCUAAGAGAGGAAAGCCAUUCCUACACAACUGACCAUGAGGAUGAUAAACUCCACUAACUCCUCACAGGAUUCAUGGAGAUACGAGUGGGAAUAUUACUACGAUUACCUAGACCCAAUACCAGUGGACGAGCGCAAACUGAAAUAUAACAAGUACUUGAUAGUGAUCCUAUUCUGGAUCAGUCUGGCUGCUUUUGUGGGAUUCCUGUUUGUCAUUUUGACUUUCAUGUCCCGUUCAGUCAGUCUACCCAAAGCUCACAGUUCCAAAAAGUCCAAGAAAUCGUGGAGGAACCCUAGAUCUAAUUCUGCUUGAUGGAGAAUACUUGAUCUGUUUUCUGCUUUAUCCCAACCCCUCUGAAAGACACACGUUGGCAACAGAAUGCAGCCAGUGCAGAGCCCAAAGAGCAAUUUUAGAGGUUAAGUGCCUCAAGGACACACUGGCAGGAUAUGGCAUUUGCAACACUACUGCUGUGGUCUGAUGGAAGAUUUCUCAACUCUUCAGCACUACUAUAAAACAGAUGUAUGUAACAUCGACUAUCUGCAAUGUAAUAGCCUGGUUACAAAGUGGGAUUUCUAUGUUUCUAUUCAAAUACAAGACCACACCAAA